CCACCCUUGUAGUGUUGAUGUUCUAACGUCGACCCCUUAUCGGGGUUGCGGACAGUGCCUGGUGGGUAGUUUGACUGGGGCGGUCUCCUCCCAAAGAGUAACGGAGGAGCACGAAGGUGGGCUAAUCACGGUUGGACAUCGUGAGGUUAGUGCAAUGGCAUAAGCCCGCUUGACUGCGAGAAUGACAAUUCGAGCAGGUGCGAAAGCAGGUCAUAGUGAUCCGGUGGUUCUGAAUGGAAGGGCCAUCGCUCAACGGAUAAAAGGUACUCCGGGGAUAACAGGCUGAUACCGCCCAAGAGUUCAUAUCGACGGCGGUGUUUGGCACCUCGAUGUCGGCUCAUCACAUCCUGGGGCUGAAGUCGGUCCCAAGGGUAUGGCUGUUCGCCAUUUAAAGUGGUACGCGAGCUGGGUUUAGAACGUCGUGAGACAGUUCGGUCCCUAUCUGCCGUGGGCGUUGGAAGAUUGAAGGGGGCUGCUCCUAGUACGAGAGGACCGGAGUGGACGAACCUCUGGUGUUCGGGUUGUGUCGCCAGACGCAUUGCCCGGUAGCUAAGUUCGGAAUCGAUAACCGCUGAAAGCAUCUAAGCGGGAAGCGAGCCCUGAGAUGAGUCUUCCCUGAUACUUUAAGUAUCCUAAAGGGUUGUCGGAGACUACGACGUUGAUAGGUCAGGUGUGUAAGUGCUGUGAGGCAUUGAGCUAACUGAUACUAAUUGCCCGUGAGGCUUAACCAUACAACACCCA
rnacentral:rRNA from 1 species